rnacentral:rRNA from 1 species
GUGAGGAAUAUUGGUCAAUGGACGCAAGUCUGAACCAGCCAUGCCGCGUGCAGGAUGAAGGUGCUAUGCAUUGUAAACUGCUUUUGUACGAGGGUAAAUUCAGAUACGUGUAUCUGUUUGAAAGUAUCGUACGAAUAAGGAUCGGCUAACUCCGUGCCAGCAGCCGCGGUAAUACGGAGGAUCCGAGCGUUAUCCGGAUUUAUUGGGUUUAAAGGGUGCGUAGGCGGUUUGAUAAGUUAGAGGUGAAAGCUCGAUGCUCAACAUCGAAAUUGCCUCUGAUACUGUCAGACUAGAGUGUAGUUGCGGAAGGCGGAAUGUGUGGUGUAGCGGUGAAAUGCUUAGAUAUCACACAGAACACCGAUUGCGAAGGCAGCUUUCCAAGCUAUUACUGACGCUGAGGCACGAAAGCGUGGGUAGCGAACAGGAUUAGAAACCCCAGUAGUCC